AUUCGCUGUCAAGAGGGUGGAUGCCUAGCUAGCUGUUUCUAGGCUUUAGGACCCUUGGGCUGGACCUGGCUAGUCAAGCUCCUGUUUCCUGUUUACUCCUGUAUCCUUAAUAUCCCUAUUUUAAGCAGCAGGCAGUGUUGGGCAUCUGGCAGUUGCCGCAGUCACUGUAAUUCAUGGGAUUUAGAGACAGUCUGCUCAUUUCACUAGCUCACUUGGAAAUUGAGGUACUGACUUCUUACACUCUUUAUAACAGCUGUGAUUAUUAUUUGACCCUGCUGGUCAACUAUGAACGUUUGAACUAGAGGUCGACCGAUUUUAAUCGGAAUGGCAGAUUUGAAUUAGGGCUGAUUUCAAGUUUUCAUAACAAUCGGAAAUCAGUAUUUUUGGGCGCCGAUUUGCCGUUUUUUUGAUUUUAUUUGUAUUAUAUAUUUUUUUACACCUUUUAGUUAACUACAGAUGGUUGAUAUUAUCUAGCGUGUCAUGCGUUGCGUAUAAUCUGACUGAGCAUACAAGUAUCUAAGUAUCUGACUGAGCGGUGGUAGGCAGAAGCAGGUGCGUAAACAUGAAUUCAAACAGCACUUUUGUGCGUUUUACCAGCAGCUCUUCGUUGUGCAUCAAGUAUUGUGCUGUUUAUGACUUCAAGCCUAUCAACUCCCGAGAUUAGGCUGGUGUAACCGAAGUGAAAUGGCUAGUAAGUUAGCGCGCGCUAAUUGUCGUUGUGUUGCUGGUUCGAAAGCAAGGAAAGAGAUAUAAAAGCUAUACUGUUACACUGGCAAUACUAAAGUGCCUAUAAGAACAUCCAAUAGUAAAAGAGUAAUGAAAUACAAAUGGUAUAGAGGGAAAUAGGAAUUAUAGGACUAAUAACUACAACCUAAAACUUCUUACCUGGGAAUAUUGAAGACUCAUGUUAAAAGGAACCACCAGCUUUCAUAUGUUCUCAUGUUCUGAACAUGUUUCUUACAUGGCACAUAUUUUACAUGGAACAUAUUGCACUUUUACUUCUCCAACACUUUUUUUUUUGCAUUAUUUAAACCAAAUUGAACAUGUUUCAUUAUUUACUUUAGGCUA
ensembl:lncRNA